rnacentral:tRNA from 1 species
GGGGUUUUGGCCCAGUGGUAAAGCAUCCGUUUGGCAUGGAGAAGGUCCCAGGUUCAAGCCCCGGCAUCUCCC